AUGCACUUUUCUUUACUGCUCUUGAGUUGUGUGUUCUCUGGCAGCGCAGCUAUAUCUUCAUUGCCGCAUCUAUCCUCCUCCCUCUGCUCGCUUCCCCAAAGGCACGCAGCCCAGGAUAAUAAGGAGACGCCUAGCGCCGUUUUUUUUUUUCGGUGGAACGCCUCUAUCACGUGCUGUAUUGCAUCACGCACGCGUUGUUUCUCCUCCUCUUGCGUCUCGUCUGCUUCUGCUCUCCACUGAUACUCUCUGCCGCCCCCCGCUCACGUCGUCGAAUGGCACGUGCGCGUUGUUCUCCCUCCAUCUUGGCAGACGCGGAAGCACUAAUUACGGUGCUCUUCUUGCUCCGCUGUUGUGCGUAAGCCAGCGACGAUCUGCAGUCCAAGCGCCCGCUACCACACCGGCGUGCGCCGUGACACACCCACACCCCCAACGAAUAAGGGCAUUUGGUUCACCUGCUGGCACAGCCGUUGCCAGUGACGCCGCUUCUCCCCCUUUUUCGUCAGUGUUUUCCAUCGCCGGCGCUCACUCGUGAACGUCAUCGUCGACUGUUGUUUCUUCCUUCUUUGACUGGACCCCUGGCAAGCGAAGGAGAGAGGGGAGACGCCAGACGAUACACACACGUGCAUGAGCAAGGAGUCCGUCCCUCAUCCGCGGUGCACUUCAUAUCGUCGUCUUUCUUUCCUUGCUUGUGUCUGCUCUCUAAGCAGGUCGCCCACGCGACCUCCACCCCCACCCCCUUCCCACACACACACAUCUGUUGUGUGUGUGUGCGCGCGCACGUGCGUGCGCCUCAUUCUCCCCAGAAACGAGAAAGGCACGCCAAAGUGCACCACGACCAACACAGAGAGCGAAGUCGGGGCACGCGCGCGAGAUUAAAGCAGCAGCAGGAGAGCAAGAAAAAUAAAAUGCUGCGCUGCUGCUCUGCUCUGAUGUGCCUGACGGCUGCACCGAGCCGCGUCUCGCCGGUUGCCGCCGCUGCUGCUGCUGCCGCCGAUGUCGCGGGUUCCUCGGAAUCGACAGUCAACCUCAUGGCAGAUGUGGACAAGAAAGACCCGCAAUACAAGCAGAUCUUUCUGGAGCGCUUCCGCAAGAAGCUGCAGUCGGACAAGACGGGCAUGAACGACUUGGAGAGUUUUGUGGAGCUGCCCGAGGGCGUCGCUCCGUCGGCGGCGUCGAUUGGUCCUAUCAAGCGGGGCAGUGAGCCACUCCCGCCGUGGCUAAAGCUAAAGGUGCCGAAGGGCAUGACGCAUCGCCCACGAUUCAACCGCAUCCGCCGCAGUAUGCGCGAGAAGAAUCUGUCGACAGUGUGCGAGGAGGCCAAAUGCCCCAAUAUUGGUGAGUGCUGGGGCGGCAGCGACGACGAGGGCACGGCGACGGCCACCAUCAUGGUGAUGGGCUCGCACUGCACCCGCGGAUGCCGGUUUUGCUCGGUGCUGACGAGCCGCCGCCCGCCUCCGUUGGACCCGGAGGAGCCAGAGAAGGUCGCGGCCGCCGUGCACGAGAUGGGCGUGGACUACAUCGUAAUGACGAUGGUCGACCGCGACGACUUGCCAGACGGCGGUGCCUCGCAUGUGUGUCGCUGCAUCCACACCAUUAAGGAGAAGAAUCCGGCGCUGAUGCUGGAGGCCCUCGUCGGCGACUUCCAUGGUGAUUUGAAGCUGGUGGAGCAGUUGGCGGUUACCCCGCUGAGUGUGUACGCGCACAACAUCGAGUGCGUGGAGCGCAUUACGCCGCGCGUGCGUGACCGGCGCGCCUCGUACAAGCAGUCGCUGCAAACACUCGAACACGUUACGAAGUCGACCAAUGGCAAGAUGCUCACAAAGAGCAGUAUCAUGCUGGGCCUUGGCGAGGAAGAAAAGGAGGUUCGCCAGACGCUGCGCGAUCUGCGCACGGCUGGUGUGUCGGCGGUGACCCUUGGCCAGUACCUGCAGCCCUCACGCACCCGUCUGAAGGUGUCCCGCUACGCUCACCCGAAGGAGUUCGAGAUGUGGGAGAAAGAGGCGAUGGACAUGGGGUUCCUCUACUGCGCCUCGGGCCCGAUGGUGCGCAGCUCCUACAGGGCUGGUGAGUACUACAUCAAGAGCAUUCUGAAGCAACGCCAGAGCGCCGAAGGUGGAAAGGCUACGGCGGCCGCCACCGCUGCCAACGCAGGUGCUGCGAUUGCGUGAAGAGAGGCGCACGCGUAAUGAGCAUCUUUCUGGAUGGCGAAGCGGCACUGGCGACGCCGCCGAUAUCGUUGUCGGCGGUUGCGUGACAGCAUUAGCGCGAGGACGGCGCAGCGUUCUUUGUUGUUGAGCGAUGUCUCUGGUGCUCAGCUCAACACCUUCAGCACAGACAGAGACGUGUGUUUCUGUGUUGUUUCACACUUCCGUGUGCUCUGCGCUUGCGUGCUCCCCGCAUAAUGUGCGUCGCGUUUUUUUUUCUUCUACUUUGGUGCUCCUGUUGGCCCACGCGGUCGUGCAUUGUAGCAG
rnacentral:misc_RNA from 1 species